GCCUAACACAUGCAAGUCGAACGCUGCAGCAAUGCAGAGUGGCAGACGGGUGAGUAACGCGUGGGAACCUUCCCAGUGGUACGGAAUAGCCCAGGGAAACUUGGGGUAAUACCGUAUACGCCCCUAGGGGGAAAGAUUUAUCGCCAUUGGAUGGGCCCGCGUCGGAUUAGCUAGUUGGUGAGGUAACGGCUCACCAAGGCGACGAUCCGUAGCUGGUCUGAGAGGAUGAUCAGCCACACUGGGACUGAGACACGGCCCAGACUCCUACGGGAGGCAGCAGUGGGGAAUAUUGGACAAUGGGCGCAAGCCUGAUCCAGCCAUGCCGCGUGAGUGAUGACGGCCCUAGGGUUGUAAAGCUCUUUCACCCACGACGAUAAUGACGGUAGUGGGAGAAGAAGCCCCGGCUAACUUCGUGCCAGCAGCCGCGGUAAUACGAAGGGGGCUAGCGUUGUUCGGAUUUACUGGGCGUAAAGCGCACGUAGGCGGAUCUUUAAGUCAGGGGUGAAAUGCCGGAGCUCAACUUCGGAACUGCCUUUGAUACUGGAGAUCUUGAGUUCGGGAGAGGUGAGUGGAACUGCGAGUGUAGAGGUGAAAUUCGUAGAUAUUCGCAAGAACACCAGUGGCGAAG
rnacentral:rRNA from 1 species